rnacentral:rRNA from 1 species
UACGAAGGGGGCUAGCGUUGCUCGGAAUUACUGGGCGUAAAGCGUGCGUAGACGGUUAUUUAAGCCGGAUGUGAAAGCCCCGGGCUCAACCUGGGAACUGCAUCCAAAACUGGCGAGCUAGAGUACGGUAGAGGGUGGUGGAAUUUCCUGUGUAGCGGUGAAAUGCGUAGAUAUAGGAAGGAACACCAGUGGCGAAGGCGACCACCUGGACUGAUACUGACACUGAGGUGCGAAAGUGUGGGGAGCAAACAGG